UACGGAGGGCGCUAGCGUUGUUCGGAAUUACUGGGCGUUAAGCGCACGUAGGCGGCUUUGUAAGUUAGAGGUGAAAGCCCGGGGCUCAACCCCGGAAUUGCCUUUAAGACUGCAUCGCUUGAAUCCGGGAGAGGUGAGUGGAAUUCCGAGUGUAGAGGUGAAAUUCGUAGAUAUUCGGAAGAACACCAGUGGCGAAGGCGGCUCACUGGACCGGUAUUGACGCUGAGGUGCGAAAGCGUGGGGAGCAAACAGG
rnacentral:rRNA from 1 species